rnacentral:rRNA from 1 species
UGGGGAAUUUUGGACAAUGGGGGAAACCCUGAUCCAGCCAUCUCGCGUGUGCGAUGAAGGCCUUCGGGUUGUAAAGCACUUUUGGCAGGAAAGAAACGUCAUGGGUUAAUACCCCGUGAAACUGACGGUACCUGCAGAAUAAGCACCGGCUAACUACGUGCCAGCAGCCGCAGUAAUACGUAGGGUGCAAGCGUUAAUCGGAAUUACUGGGCGUAAAGCGUGCGCAGGCGGUUCGGAAAGAAAGAUGUGAAAUCCCAGAGCUAAACUUUGGAACUGCAUUUUUAACUACCGGGCUAGAGUGUGUCAGAGGGAGGUGGAAUUCCGCGUGUAGCAGUGAAAUGCGUAGAUAUGCGGAGGAACACCGAUGGCGAAGGCAGCCUCCUGGGAUAACACUGACGCUCAUGCACGAAAGCGUGGGGAGCAAACAGG